CGUGCGCUCCCGAGCAGCUAUUUUGGGAUAGUUGCGGAUCACGUGGCCUAGUCGGCCCACAUGUCAGGUUGUGGCUGUUCCUUUUGCAAAUCACUGUUAACCGGGGAUGGUCCUGCUCCAGAUCCAGACGGGCGUCUUCCUCCUCUAGAUCCAGGGUCCUACCCAUGGAUUUUCAUGGAAGCGCAGGCCGAUUCAAGAGACAUGAUUAGCCAUGGGCAGUUGGGGCAUACUGCGGCGGCGCGACCUAUUGAGUCCUAGUAGGCUUCUAUUGGCAUCACCGAGGGGGACAUUCGCUGAGUCGGAGAUGUAUGCAGCGCCGGCGGCAAUGCGGGAUUUGUUGGUGAUCCCAGUGUUGCAAGUGUGCUCUGAGGCUACAAGUGGUUUGACACGCAGGUAUUCCUACGCAACCUGGUAUAUUUUUUUGCGUAAUCUGUGCAAGUUUGAUUUCAGGCUUAACUAACUAUCUGAUUUAUAGUUAGCUGUUGUAAUUUUGUUUAGUGGCCACUAGUUCAUGGGCAUGGGCACGGAUUGCUAAUAAUUUGUAGUUAACUGAAUUAGGGGAAAUGUGAUUUACUGUCGACUCUGUGAUUUACUGUCGACUGUGUAUGUGUGGGCAUGGGCAUGGAUUGCUAGUCAGUACAGCGUUGUUUAGUUUAGCAGUUUUGUAUUGGAAAGGAAGCUAAUAAAAAAACUGGUGUGGAUUAUCUCUUGUCUUGCUGCAAUUUUAGCUAAUUGCUUUUAUUUACCUCCGGUCACCGGUGUGAGUACAUGUGUCUGAUCUUUAAUUGUUGUGGAAUAUGUACCAAUGGAUUUGUGUUUACAGGCUGAGAAACUCAUGGUGUCACUGCAACUGUGGCUUGUCUGCUGUUAUAAAAUACCCAUGUACUUGGUAAAAUUAGAAGCGGGCAAUCUCAUGGUUAUCUCCUGUGUUUUUUGGAUACGGAUUUUGAUUUUAUUUUCUUGCAAUCUACUGAAAUUAUUACUCCUCGAUCUAACAGAGUGAGGAACUGAAUGUUGAUAUACCCAGGAAGAUGUACACUCUCACUCAUGUGGAUGCUUUGGCAUGUGAAAAAUGGAGCAAAGUUCAGAUAUGUACAAAAGUUCCAAGAAAGAUGCUCAAGUGUGGUAAAUGUGGAGUGAUCGGACAUCGUCAAAAUCAUGGGGCAAGCGUGCAGAUCCAUUUUAGCCUAAUUUCCUUAACUUUUGACAUGGUCCCAUUUGAUUUGUGUUUUAAUUUGGACUUUGAUUCAAAAUGUAUAUUCGUUAUGCGAACUGAUAUUGUUUCCCUGAUUGUCCCUGAAUUAUACGCCA